GACGAACGCUGGCGGCGUGCCUAAUACAUGCAAGUCGAGCGGACUGAUUAAGAGCUUGCUCUUAUGACGUUAGCGGCGGACGGGUGAGUAACACGUGGGCAACCUGCCCUGUAGAUCGGGAUAACACCGAGAAAUCGGUGCUAAUACCGGGUAAUAUCUGAGAUCACAUGAUCUUAGGUUAAAAGAUGGCUCCGGCUAUCACUACAGGAUGGGCCCGCGGCGCAUUAGCUAGUUGGUAAGGUAAUGGCUUACCAAGGCGACGAUGCGUAGCCGACCUGAGAGGGUGAUCGGCCACACUGGGACUGAGACACGGCCCAGACUCCUACGGGAGGCAGCAGUAGGGAAUCUUCCGCAAUGGACGAAAGUCUGACGGGGCAACGCCGCGUGAGUGAUGAAGGGUUUCGGCUCGUAAAGCUCUGUUGUUAGGGAAGAAACAGUACCGAACGAACUAGGUCGGUACCUUGACGGUACCUAGCCAGAAAGCCACGGCUAACUACGUG
rnacentral:rRNA from 1 species